rnacentral:rRNA from 1 species
UACGGGGGGAGCAAGCGUUGUUCGGAUUUAUUGGGCGUAAAGGGCGCGUAGGCGGUCAGCACAAGUCAGUUGUGAAAUCUCCGGGCUUAACUCGGAAAGGUCAACUGAUACUGUGCGACUAGAGUGCGGAAGGGGCAACUGGAAUUCUCGGUGUAGCGGUGAAAUGCGUAGAUAUCGGGAGGAACACCUGCGGCGAAGGCGGGUUGCUGGGCCGACACUGACGCUGAUGCGCGAAAGCGUGGGGAGCAAACGGG